AGCACAGUUGGCUCGCAUCGGUAAACCGUAAGAUACUAACCGAGAACCGAGAAGGCGCUCAGUUCAGUUCAGCUGUGUCCCGGAGCGACGUAUGUUCUUCUCUUCCGUACUCCACCGGAUUUCUCUCAUGGCCACCAAACCCCACUGCCUACAUUCAUUUUCAGGGACUUGUUCAUUGCAAAACUCUGCGAAAAGAGCGAGGACAAUGACCACUGAAUCCUCCAUGAAAGAUGCUUUCGGAAGAUACGCUGAAUACCUCAAUAACCUGAAUGAAAAACGUGAAAGAGUGGUGAAAGCAAGUCGUGAUGUCACCAUUAACAGCAAAAAGGUCAUAUUUCAAGUGCACAGGGUUGGUAAGCACAACAGAGAAGAAGUUUUGGAGAAGGCAGAAAAGGAUUUGGCGACCGUGACAGAGCAAUAUAUGUCUCGACUAGUGAGAGAACUACAGGGGACUGAUUUUUGGAAGCUAAGACGAGCGUACUCGCCUGGGGUACAAGAGUAUGUUGAAGCUGCAACAUUUUGUAAAUUCUGCAAGACUGGGACUCUUUUGAAUCUUGAUGAGAUAAAUGCAACUUUAUUGCCACUUAGUGAUCCAUCUUUUGAGCCGUUGCAGAUUAAUGUCCUUGACUAUCUCUUGGGGCUUGCAGACUUGACUGGAGAGCUGAUGCGGUUGGCUAUUGGUAGAAUAUCAGAAGGUGAACUUGAGUUUGCUGAGAAGAUAUGCAGGUUUGCACGUGAUAUCUACAGGGAGCUGACUCUUCUUGUUCCACAUAUGGAUGAUAGUUCUGAUAUGAAGACAAAGAUGGAUACGAUGCUCCAAAGCGUAAUGAAAAUAGAGAAUGCUUGCUUUAGUGUUCAUGUGAGAGGAUCGGAAUACAUUCCACUCACUGGAUCCAUUGACUCAAGUUCAUUCUUGUUGGACAUGCCUGAUAAUGAACCGUGAAGAAAAUUCAAUUAUUUUUCAACCAGAAAUUUUUUUGGAAUGCUUCAUGGAAUAUAUGACUACAUGUGGAUCUGCCUGCUGAAAGGUUUGAAGGACGAUUUAAUUAGUAGAGACUCACUGAUCACCAAGCUCAUCUGCAUGGUCGGCAGUGGCUGGGGCCUCUAUUCUUUGGAUAAGCUGUGUCUCUAUUGUGCGGUCUCUUCAUGAUAACAUCUACAUCUGUAAUGACCAAUUUUGCUCAGAAGCCACACAAUUAAAGAAAAAACAAAGAAAGUAGAAGGUGGCCUAAUUUAUCCACACUGUUUCUUGCCAUCAGAAUCGACUCAUGAAUGAAGGCCCAACUUUAAAAAAUAUUAUCACACGUCACAGUUGCAGAUUUCCUUUGUAAUUCCAUUGGUAAUAUCUCGGAAGGACCUUUGAUUACCAGGGAAUCUGUUUGAUGGUGUAUGCGAAUUUGAGUCCACCACACA